rnacentral:rRNA from 1 species
ACUCCUACGGGAGGCAGCAGUGGGGAAUAUUGCACAAUGGGCGAAAGCCUGAUGCAGCGACGCCGCGUGAGGGAUGACGGCCUUCGGGUUGUAAACCUCUUUCAGCAGGGAAGAAGCGAAAGUGACGGUACCUGCAGAAGAAGCACCGGCUAACUACGUGCCAGCAGCCGCGGUAAU